rnacentral:rRNA from 1 species
CUGAUGCAGCCAUGCCGCGUGUGUGAAGAAGGCCUUCGGGUUGUAAAGCACUUUCAGUCGUGAGGAAGGUUCAUACGUUAAUAGCGUAUGGAUUUGACGUUAGCGACAGAAGAAGCACCGGCUAACUCCGUGCCAGCAGCCGCGGUAAUA